AGGAGCCACCUCCUCCCGCCCGCACGGCGCCUGUGCCUGGGUCCCGGCGACCCUCCUCAGGGCCACCGAAAGGUCUUGGGGCUUGGGGCGGGGGCGGGGGGGGCGGUCCCUGCCCGUGGGAGCCUCCCCGGCCCCGCAGUCCCAGCAGCAAACUGCGCUUGGUCGGACGGGAUGCCCGCGCAGAGGGAAGUUGAGAGAAGGUAUGCCUUUGGAGACUGGAAACCUGGAGGUCAUUUCUGAGCAAGAAUUCCGGGAAUCCUAAAGGUCUUCAAUCUCUGCUCGCAGCACCUGGGUAGACAUGGUUCCAGGGAGGAGCCUGAGUGGGUGAUUCAGUUCCAGAGCCGCAGUAGUAGCACCACCCAAACUUGGAAAAAGAAUCAUGUUGAUCGCCAGAGAAGGAAUCUCAUCGGAAGUAGACUUCAUUCAGAGGGGCGCCAGUAGCAAAGAGGCUCCUGGAUUGCAUCCUGACUGCCCUGGAGGGAGGAUGUGACCAUUGGUGUAGGAGGCGACGAGACAACCUGGUCAGCAGAGAUGUAUCACAGCGGUACACUCUCCCAGCACUUUCCCACCCACAACCCGCGUCAGACCUGGCUUCAUCUUUAAUCCUCCAGCCUUGGGAAUGACAGACCUACCUCAGAGGUCUUGCCUGCCCUCGCGCCCUCCCCAACCCCCCACCGCGUCCCGGAUUCCUGUGGUGCAGUGCGGGGGGGGGGGGGCUUGUGUUCACUCACAGAGGCCGUCAGACACGGUGCGCGGUAGUUUUCUUCACUUUAGAAGGUAGCAAACUGUUUUCAAAGGUGGGAUAUUUUCAGAAGAAGGAUUCCAAGAAUCAUUCCCCUAGAUAUCGGGCUCUGUGGGACGCGCUGGGCGUAGGUCUGUUCAGGUCACAGAGCUUCGCAAGCCUAGCCCGCAGAGAGCUGUUCUUUUAGUGGUGCUGAAAGCGAGGCCAGCUCUGCCGAGUUGCCUACAAGCUGUCUAUAACUCAGCCACUACCCUCCUUCCUGCUUAGAGUCACAGGCUGAAUGGUUCACUAUUGUCUGGCAACAAAUCGCGGUAGCCACCUAAUAGAUCUGAUUGUUUCCAGUUACAAUGUCCCCCUUCCCCAAUCCUUUCUUCACUGAGCACCGAGUGAUCUUUCCUUGUUGGUUUGAGUGUUUAAAAAUUAUGCUUAUCUAUCUAUCUAUUUUUUUUUUCGAGACAGGGUUUCUAUGUGUAGCCUUGGCUGUCCUGGAACUCUGUCCACCAGGCUGGCCAUAAACUCAGAAAUUUGCCUGCCUCUGCCUCCCAAGUCUUGGGAUUAAAAGCAUGCCUGGAUGCUUAAUUAUUAUUAUUUUUUUAAAGUGUGGGGUAUAUUUUCUGCUUGCAUAUAUGGUGCCCAAGGAGGCCUGAAGAGGGCAUUGAAUCUUCUGGGACUGGAAUUGCAGAUGAUUCUGAGCCAUCCCUCAGGUGUGUGUGUGCUAGGACUCAAACCUGUUUCUCUGGGAGAUUAGCCAGUGCUCAAAGCCAUUGAGCCAUCUCUCCAGCUCCUCUCCUUUUGUUCAGACAUGCCCCAUGUAUCACAGGCUGAGGCUGACCCGGCAAUUCUGAGCCUCUGACUUCCACCAGCUAGGAUUGCAUGAGGCCAGUGUGUGCAUGCUCUUCUCGCUCCCUCUCGGGAUGCACGAGCCAGGCUCGUGCUAGCCUGCUAAGCUACACCAGCAGCACUAGAGCAGCUCCGACUCCCCUCACAGUCUCUGCUUCCCUUCCCUUCUUUUCUUUUCUCUUUUCCUUUUUGAGACAAAGUCUCGGUUUAUAGCCCAGGCUGGCCUGAAACUUUCUACAUAGUCUGAGAUAGCCUAAAAUCUGCAGUCCUCCUGCCUGUGUCUUGCAAGUGCUUGGUUUACAGCUAUGGGUCACCAUGCCCAGCUAGAGUGGCAAUGAUCAAGGGGCAAAAGUGAUCACCCGUGAAGUCCAUCUAGUCUUGAUGUCAUGCAAAAUAAAGCAAAGUUCUUGCCACAGUGAAGAGGUUCCUUUCUCUGACAAUCAUCUAGUGCCUGCCUCCUAUCACCUGUCAAGAUGGAGCCACUGCCAAGCCCUGGCUUAAUUCUAGUGUGUUGAAGAUUUGACAUUAAGAUUCAACAGGGAACCUGGAUUGUGGUAAAUGCCUUUAAUCCCAGUACUCGGGAGGUAGAAACAGGCAGAUCUCCGAGCUCAAGCCAAGCCUGGUCCACAGAGUGAAUUCUAGGACAGCCUGGGCUACACAGAGAAACCCUGUCUCUAAACAAAACAACAAACAAACAAACAAGGAUUUGCCAAGAGGUGGGAGGUGAGUCAUGGGAAGAACUGUGAAGCCAGGCGGUCUGUGGUGGUGCUCAUUAUCCAGACCUGCGUGUCAUCCUCCAAAAGUACAUCACGGCGAGAUGGCAGGGAGGCUCUGGUAGCAUCCAAUGAUGCUGAGCAGAGUGAUUCUGCUGCUCAGGACUUUACCCACUUUCUGACAUGCUUUGCCCCUACCCCACGCCCGUUUCGGGGGAGGAAGCACAUGGCAGAUGUGAAGUGAGUGGCCCAGGGUCACACAGCUAGACAGUCACAACUCCGACUCCAGAGGAACAGGGAGCCCAGAGACUUCAUCUCCGGCAGAGGCGUGAAGGUGCCGACCCUGGGACCAGACAGCCUGUGUGUAAUCCCAACUCUGCCAGUUAAGGACUCAAUCUCCCCGUGGCUGUGUUUCCUCGUCAGAAGAGAUGGUGGUCCCCCUGCUAGCCUCACUGGGAAGACUGAGGAGAUAGUCCUGCAGUCAUCAGUGCUGUUCUGAAUCUGAGCUCCUCCCUGACCGUGGCGAGCAAGUCCAGAAGGCAGGCUGAGAAUUUCUUGCCUCAUCAUCCUGGAUGUGCGGGAGCCGAAAGGGCAGAGGACAGAGGAGGGGCCGCGUGACUGCCUAGGCUCCUAAGCAAUUUACUGGAGGAGCUCAUUUGGCAACUCUGAUUCCAAGUUAAUUAAAGAUGGCCACUAGGGGUCAUUGCCAUGGUGACAAUUAGGCCAGAAAGAAGCCUCAUUAAGGUGCGGUUUUAACUAGGCCAGUCGUUUUUAACCUAAGGUCUGUGGGAAAGGGAGUCAGCUUGCCCCCCCCCCCCCCUCUCUCCUCCGUGUUCAGAUCCGUUUCCAGGCAGUUCUGGCUGAGGAUGGAGGCAGAGGAGGAGUCCUGAGCUGAGCCCCCCUGAGUCCCAGCAGGGCAACAGGUUUCUCUGUGGCACUCACCCUGUCUGUGAGGCAGAAGCCUUAGGGUGGGUGGAGGCCAUGAUGCCAGAGCAGGCAGAGAAGAGGGGGAUUUUAUUCAGAGUGGCCCGGGAGACCUUAUCACCCAAUCUGCUUCCCAAACUGAGUGAGGGGAGCCAAGCCGAGCUGUGGGUGAUAAUGGAGCACAUGAAACUUAUUUCUUCUGUGUUGAAUUGAGAAUGCCAGGAGCUUAAAGCCUGUCUCAGUUCACAGCACUGUAAUGUGUUUGAGCUAGGCAUGGCGGUACCCACCUCCUAUCUCAGGACUAAGACAAGAAGAUAGUGACAUCCUGGCCAGCCUCCGCCACAUAGUGAGAUUCUGUUUCAUGGAGGUAGAGUGAGUGUGUGUGUGUGUGUGUGGGGGGGGGGGGGAACGACACAAGAGUAGUGAGAUGGCUCAGCCUUUAACUUGCUUCUCUCUCUCUCUCUCUCUCUCUCUCUCUCUCUGCUUUUUUGUUUGUUUUGUUCGUUUUAGCUUUUUGUUUGUUUUUUGUUUUGCUUUUUGUUUUUGCUGUUGUUGAGACAAGGUUUCUCUGUGUUAGUCCUGGAACUCACUCUGUAGAUCAGGCUGGCCUCGAACUCAGAAAUAUGUCUGCCUCUGCCUCCCAAGUGCUGGAAUUAAAGGCAUGUGCCACCACUGCCUGACAACUUGCUUCUCUUGAAGUGGGCCUGCCUGGGCUUGGUACUGGAACCCACAUGGUGGCUUAUGAAGUCUGUAACUCCAGUUCCAGGGAACCUGGUGCCCUCUUCUGGUCUUUAUGGGCACCAGACAUGCUUUUCAUGCAAUUAUCUACAUGCAAGUGAAAACUCUCAUACCCAUAAGAUAUAAAUAGAUUAAUCUCUCUUAAAGAAAUCAAGAGGCUGGGCUGAAGGGAUGCUGAGAGCACUGGCUGCUCUUCCAGAGGACCAGGGUCCAGUUCUGAUGCCUUCCUCAGGCCUCCCCAGAAACUGCAAGGGUGUGGUGUACAGACUUACACAGGACAAACAACCAUGCAUGUAACAAUAAGUAAAUAAAUACUUUUUUAAAAAAUCAAGGGGCUGUGGAAAUGCCUCAGUCAAUAAAGUAGUUUCCAUAGAGGCAUGAAGAACGGAGUUACAAUCUACAACCUCUACAUAAAAAACCAGGAGGACUGGUGGGCAUCUGUAAUCCCAGGGCUGGGUAGACAGAGCCAGGUACAGUUCUGGAGCUCACCGACUAAUACAGCCAAGUGAAUCCAUAUCAAUGAGAAACCCUGUCUCCAGAAAUAAAGUAGAAGAUUCGGAGAGAUGACCCACCAGCUAAAAGCGUUUGCUAUACCUGGGGACUGGGGUUUGGUUUACCAGCCCCACACAGUGGCUCACGACCAUCCAUAACUCCAAUUCCAGGGGAUCCAGUGACCUCGUCUGACCACCAAGGACAGAAAGCAUGCGUGUGGUGCACAUACACACAUGCUGUCAAAUCACAGACACAUGGAAAAGAAAAAACAAAGAAAUCUUUAAAAAUAAACAAGACGGAGAGUAACUAAGGAAGACCCUUGACUGCAUGCACGUGUCCAGUGUGCACCUGAAUAUGUCUGAGUUCACUCAACACACACAUAUGCAUAUGCUACACACAAAGAAGUAAAGAAUAUGUUCUCUGCUCAAUAGUGAUAUAAAUGCACUGAUGAGAACAGGAAGUCCCAGGUAAGCACAAAGAGAGACCACCCCCUGACAUACACCACCCUGGACACGAUGUCUGCUGACACUGUCCAUAUAGUAAGCAGAGCGCAGCCUACAGGGAGCUGGGUCCAAAGACUGGAGAAGGGGGACCUGGGUUUUGGUGUUUGUGACCUUUUCAACUGUUUGUACUUUAUCAGGAAAAUGUCAAAUAAACUGCAGUGGAAACACCAGCU
rnacentral:lncRNA from 1 species